AACGAACGCUGGCGGCAUGCCUAACACAUGCAAGUCGAACGAGACCUUCGGGUCUAGUGUCUCACGGGUGGGUAACGGGUUGGAACCUGCCCUUAGGUUCGGAAUAACUUCCGGAAAGAGGUUCUAAUUCCGGAUAAUGUAUUCGGACCAAAGAUUUAUCGCCUUUGGAUGGGCCGGCGUUGGAUUAGCUAGUUGGUAGGGUAAAUGCCUACCAAGGCGACGAUUCAUAGCUGGUCUGUGAGGAUGAUCAGCCGCACUGGGACUGAGACACGGCACAGACUGCUACGGGAAGCAGCAGUGGGGAAGAUUGGAGCAUGGGCGAAAGCCUGAUCCAGAAAUGCCGCGUGAGUGAUGAAGGCCUUAGGGUUGUAAAGCUCUUUUAGCUGGGAUGAUAAUGACAGUACCGGGAGAAUAAGCUCCGGCUAACUCCGUG
rnacentral:rRNA from 1 species